rnacentral:rRNA from 1 species
GAUGAACGCUGGCGGCGUGCCUAAUACAUGCAAGUCGAGCGAACAGACGAGGAGCUUGCUCCUCUGACGUUAGCGGCGGACGGGUGAGUAACACGUGGAUAACCUUCCUAUAAGACUGGGAUAACUUCGGGAAACCGGAGCUAAUACCGGAUAAUAUAUUGAACCGCAUGGUUCAAUAGUGAAAGACGGUUUUGCUGUCACUUAUCGAUGGAUCCGCGCCGCAUUAGCUAGUUAGUAAGGUAACGGCUUACCAAGGCAACGAUGCGUAGCCGACCUGAGAGGGCGAUCGGCCACACUGGAACGGAGACGCGGUCCAGACUCCUACGGUAGGGAGCAGUAGGGAAUCUUCCGCAAUGGGCGAAAGCCUGACGGAGCAACGCCGCGUGAGUGAUGAAGGUCUUCGGAUCGUAAAACUCUGUUAUUAGGGAAGAACAAAUGUGUAAGUAACUAUGCACGUCUUGACGGUACCGAAUCAGAAAGCCACGGCUAACUACGUG